GGUGCUAUAGUGUAGUGGUUAUCACUCGGGAUUUUGAUUCUCAACGCUUCCCGAAACCCAGGUUCGAACCCUGGUAGCACCU